rnacentral:pre_miRNA from 1 species
ACAAUAUUCGGACAGUCUGUCUACCGCGCAAUAUCACCCGCUCGGUGGAAAAUCUUCCCUUUGUCGU